rnacentral:rRNA from 1 species
CCUACGGGGGGCUGCAGUGGGGAAUAUUGGACAAUGGGGGGAACCCUGAUCCAGCCAUGCCGCGUGUGUGAAGAAGGCCCUCGGGUUGUAAAGCACUUUCAGUGAGGAAGAACGCCUGGUGGUUAAUACCCAUCAGGAAAGACAUCACUCACAGAAGAAGCACCGGCUACACUCCGUGCCAGCAGCCGCGGUAAUACGGAGGGUGCGAGCGUUAAUCGGAAUUACUGGGCGUAAAGCGCGCGUAGGUGGCUUGAUAAGCCGGUUGUGAAAGCCCCGGGCUCAACCUGGGAACGGCAUCCGGAACUGUCAAGCUAGAGUGCAGGAGAGGAAGGUAGAAUUCCCGGUGUAGCGGUGAAAUGCGUAGAGAUCGGGAGGAAUACCAGUGGCGAAGGCGGCCUUCUGGACUGACACUGACACUGAGGUGCGAAAGCGUGGGUAGCAAACAGGAUUAGAUACCCUAGUAGUC